AAGUCGUAACAAGGUUUCCGUAGGUGAACCUGCGGAAGGAUCAUUAACACGUUAUCCACGUAUCAACCAACGAGAAUCGUUUUCACUACCUCUCUUUCGGGGAAUGAACUGAGCUAGCUUAGCAGUCAGGAUGGGAUGUUUACGUCAGACUCUCUAGCCACUUAUGACAGAAAAUUCACUUAGUUUAAUCUCUGGAGUUUUCAGCGUACACAUAGUUGAAUCUAUGGUGCGUGUUGUAGACAGUUGUAUCUUUCGGAAGUCUAAUCUCAUCAGACCGUCGCCAAUCCUGAUCAUCUGAUGGGAAACCUACUUUACCAAUUUCACCCCCUUUUUGCUAGUUGACUUUUAUAUGUUGCAUGUGAGCUUCGGCGAGUGUGCACACGUUUAAUUAUUUGAACGUUAAAAAUACAACUCUUAGCAAUGGAUAUCUAGGUUCUC
rnacentral:misc_RNA from 1 species